UCUCCUGCCUUGACAAAUAUUUACCCUCCCUCCCUCCUUGGCUGGCGGCAGAGCUGGGCGAGCCAGGGGCCUUGGGGGUGCUGGUUGAUCUCACCCCAGCUCUGGGCAGGCUGGCAGCACCUGCCUGCCUUCAGGCUCCCAGGCAGAAGUGGGGGAAGCGUCUGUGUGCGUGGUGAGGGCCGCUCGCUGGAGGGGUCUUCCCUGGGGGCCCGCUGCCCCUUAUAGCUCCUCCCCCAGCCCCUUCGCAUCCCAGCGCAGGGGAAUUUGGCUCCAGAGCCCCGACUCCCACAGCAGGGAGGGUGUGUGUCCAGCUUGGGAAGGGUGCCCAGGGCCCGUGAUGGGGGAGGACCGGCCCACGGCGGGGGCGGCAGACUUCAGCUCCUUCUGCAGGGCUAAGCACCGCUCCGCCCCCCGCAGGAGAAGGUCUGAGAGGACCGUGCUGGGCUCGUGGUCCUGAGGGCUGAGCCCGGGAGAGGAGGCAGGGGCCGGCCCCCGCCCCCCCAGCCGCCCUUCCGCCACAGCCGCCGUCCCUCCACCCGCGCUGGGCUUGUUCCUCUCCUGGCCCUUUCUUUCCUGCCGUCAGACGGCUGGACCCAGACGCCCUCCCCCUGGCUCUGUAGCCGGCUUUGUCCCUGGGCCACCUUGGCACCACAGGUUUCCUCCUUGGCAAACCAGCAGGACGGCCGGCCUGCCCUCCUCCGGGGCCAAGUCGACGGCACACUGAAGUGACGUGGUGGGGGCCCGGGCCAGGGCCUUCAGCAGCGGCCCCGCGGCCCCGGGGGCCUCGCAGACCCCUUCCCAGAGCCGGAGGCCCAGUAAGCCACACACUUCACGCCGCACCCCAUCCCAGGACCGGAGCCAGAGCUGGGAUGCCUCCCAGGUCCUGACCGUAUCCUUCCAGAGGCUGAGCCAGGCCUGGACCCCGUCCCCCUCAAGAGAGGAGGAAGGCCAGCCCGGGUACCUCAGCAAGCAGCCUGGCACCAUGGAGCCUCCCGGCAGCCACCACAAAGAGGGACAAGGGAGCACUCAUAGGAGGGAGGAAGCAGACGGACAUUGCGGAGACCGUUUCCCCUGGAGCUGGCUCCAAGGGGCGGGUUGGGAGCUUCCUGCAGGGUCGGGGUGGCCUCAGGCCCCAGCUCCAAACCCCUGGACCUGCCCCUGUGGGGGAACAGAAACAUGUAGUGCUGUGAGUUUUCUACGGCUCUCAUAACACGGGAACCACAAACUUGGUGACAGUUUAAAACGACAGCAGUCGGAAACCGACCGAAGCACUGGCAGGGCUGUGCCCUCCAAGGUGCUUCAGAAGCCUCUUUCUCUGCCUGUCGCCAGCUUCUGGCGGUGGCCAGCGUCCUCACCUGCCUUGCCUUGCAGCGGCUUCCCGCCGGUCUCUGCCUCCCUGGUCCCGGGGCUCCUUCCCUGCGUCUGUGUCUCCUGGCUUUUUAGUUAGGCGUCUUUGGCUGUGCUGGUCUCCGUUGCUGUGCGUGGGCUUUCUCCAGGUGCAGAGAGCAGGGGCUGCUCUCGAGCUGUGGUGCGCAGGCUCCUCGCUGCGGUGACUUCUCUUGUUGCAGAACACAGGCUCGAGAGCACAGGGUGGGCUGCUUCCUGGUGUGUGGGACCCCCCCGGUCGGGACCGGAACCCGUCUCCUGUGUUGGCGUCUCCUUAGUCGCUCAGUCAUGUCUGACUCUGCAAGCCGUGGACUGUAAUGCGCCGGGCUCCUCAGUCCACGGGAUGCUUCUGGGAAGAAUACUGAAGUGGGUUGCCACGCCCUCCUCCAGGGAUCUUCCCG
rnacentral:lncRNA from 1 species